UUGGAGGUUUUACGUUCGCA
rnacentral:siRNA from 1 species